CGGCGUGCUUACACAUGCAAGUCGAGUGCGCGUUUCCGUAGCAAUACGGAGAUGGCGCACGGCGCACGGGUGCGUAACACGUGGGCAAUCUGCCCUCUGAUGGGGAAUAACCCGCCGAAAGGCGGGCUAAUACCGCAUAACAUUCCUUGGACUCCGGUUCGAGGAUUCAAAACCGCAAGGUGUCGGAGGAGGAGCCCGCGCACGAUUAGCUAGUUGGUGAGGUAACGGCUCACCAAGGCUAUGAUCGUUAGCUGGUCUGAGAGGAUGGCCAGCCACACUGGAACUGAGACACGGUCCAGACUCCUACGGGAGGCAGCAGUGGGGAAUCUUGCACAAUGGGCGAAAGCCUGAUGCAGCGACGCCGCGUGGGGGAUGAAGCAUUUCGGUGUGUAAACCCCUUUCGACCGGGAAGAAUGCCUCGCAAGAGGAGUGACGGUACCGGUAUAAGAAGCCCCGGCUAACUACGUGCCAGCAGCCGCGGUAAUACGUAGGGGGCCAGCGUUGUUCGGAAUUACUGGGCGUA
rnacentral:rRNA from 1 species